AUUUAAAUAGCUUAAGUUUAGAGCAUUAUAUUGAAGAUAUAGGGGUAAUAAUUAAAUAUUUUUAAAUA
rnacentral:tRNA from 1 species